CGGCGUCGAGCGGCGGACGGGUGAGUAAUGCCUAGGAAAUUGCCCUGAUGUGGGGGAUAACCAUUGGAAACGAUGGCUAAUACCGCAUGAUGCCUACGGGCCAAAGAGGGGGACCUUCGGGCCUCUCGCGUCAGGAUAUGCCUAGGUGGGAUUAGCUAGUUGGUGAGGUAAGGGCUCACCAAGGCGACGAUCCCUAGCUGGUCUGAGAGGAUGAUCAGCCACACUGGAACUGAGACACGGUCCAGACUCCUACGGGAGGCAGCAGUGGGGAAUAUUGCACAAUGGGCGCAAGCCUGAUGCAGCCAUGCCGCGUGUAUGAAGAAGGCCUUCGGGUUGUAAAGUACUUUCAGUCGUGAGGAAGGCGGCGUCGUUAAUAGCGGCGUUGUUUGACGUUAGCGACAGAAGAAGCACCGGCUAACUCCGUGCCAGCAGCCGCGGUAAUACGGAGGGUGCGAGCGUUAAUCGGAAUUACUGGGCGUAAAGCGCAUGCAGGUGGUUUGUUAAGUCAGAUGUGAAAGCCCGGGGCUCAACCUCGGAAUAGCAUUUGAAACUGGCAGACUAGAGUACUGUAGAGGGGGGUAGAAUUUCAGGUGUAGCGG
rnacentral:rRNA from 1 species